GUGCAUUUAAAUAGAAACGAAGGAGGCCAGAUAUCUAGACUUCUUCUUGACUGACUAUGGCUUCGAUUCAUUGUCUGAAUAUGCUGAACCUGGAUUGUGAGCAUCAGGACUCAGGGCAGAAGAGAAUUGCAAGUAAAGAGUGAGAUGCCAGAAACCAUCCGGCCACUUUCAUCCAAUCACUUCCCACCACUUGCUCAUCGAGGUGGUGUGUGCUCCCAGACAGCCACCUGCUCAACUUUCCACUGCGUGGAAUCCCAGCUCCUUAAUCAAAACGAAACAAAAGGAAGUAAUAAAUGAUGGUUCAAUCCUGAAUUGGUGGUAGAAUUACAUAACAGAGGUCUACACAUACAUGCACCGAACAUGCAGCCGGCUCAGUUCUCCAUCACAGAUGGAGCCCAUCUUCCUGUGAGCCCAGGUUCUGCUGGAACAAGGGAGGUUUGGACACAUCGGAUGUCUCUCUUCGGGGUGAUGAUACGAUGCACUUUCCUGCGCUCCGAGGUACCACCACGGAGAGAUGGGCAUCCUGGCGCCAGAGUGUCCUCUGAGGCUGGGCUGCCUGGCUUUUACAACAACAUCCAAGGAAAUUUGCCACCUGACAUCAAGGUUCUAAGCAGGCAUAGGAGUGAAGACACUCUUGGCUGUGCAAGUGAUACCCAGGCCAGGCUGCCCCAGCUUCUGCUGUGCCAAAUCUCAGGUGCAGUUGGAACAGGCAAAAGGCUCUGGAAUCUGAGAGAUAAAAGAGCAGAUGCAGCAACAGCAGAAGCCGGUUGAUGAAACUGAAGACCAUUCUCUCCCUACAAAUAUGAACAGCAAAUUCUGCAAAUGGAGGCUUGUGAAUGUCAGAGAACACCCCAGCUAAGACCUCCAGUGAGGUCUAUAUUUACAGCUGCUUGGGAGGAGGAGGGGAAGAGGAUGGUAAGUUCAAGGCCAACUUAUGCUACCUAGUAAGUUCAAGGCUAACCUGAACUCAGCUAGCUAGGACAACUCAGCAAGAUUAUAUCACAAUUAAAAAAAAUGGAACGGACAUGGAUAUGGUUCUAUGGACAAUAGUGUUAAUGCACAAGACUCUGGAUUCAAUCUCUAGAACUGAAGAAAAAAAAAAAAGGAAAAAACAAACAGAAAAAAAAAAAACCCAAACAGAAACCCGUGCUUUUGACCUGGAUUUAAAAUAGGCAUAAGUGUGAUACUUCAAACAAAAUACAGUCAUUAUAUAACAUAUAUUUAUGAAAAUCACUGUACCAUAACAAAAGUAAACAAUAAAAACCACAGGCUUGGGGUGGGGGGAAACGGG
rnacentral:lncRNA from 1 species